rnacentral:rRNA from 1 species
CACGUAGGGCGCAAGCGUUGUCCGGAAUUAUUGGGCGUAAAGAGCUCGUAGGUGGUUUGUUACGUCUGCUGUGAAAACCUAGGGCUUAACCCUGGGCUUGCAGUGGAUACGGGCAGACUAGAGGUAGGUAGGGGAGAAUGGAAUUCCUGGUGUAGCGGUGAAAUGCGCAGAUAUCAGGAGGAACACCGGUGGCGAAGGCGGUUCUCUGGACAGUUCCUGACGCUAAGACGCGAAAGCGUGGGGAGCAAACAGG